rnacentral:lncRNA from 1 species
GAAUGGCUGGGUGAACAGCCAAGGGAGAAAGGGAAGGGAUGGUUUCUAUCAUUGGAUUGAACUGUAAAGGAGCUGCAGGGUGACAGAUGUUGGCAGGAAUUCCAGUAGAGUUUGUGUGUACAGUGACUCCCUAGCAGGGCUGACACCUGCACAGGCUAGGUGUACACCCUAGCAGAAGGAAAGGUUGCAACAUCACCAAGGUGGGGCAUUUGCCAGAGGUACAUACCAGGGCAUUUGCCAGAGGUACAUACCAAGGCAUUUGUAAAGCUGAGGCUGCUGGUAAAGUUCCAAGAAGCCCUUUUUAAGGCUGAGUAGAGGGAGGAGAAGCCAAGGGCAACCCAAGGCCAUCUCACCACUACUCCGAGGAAUGGUCCAUGGAGACAACAGAUUCAAGAGCACAUAUAAUGCAAGUUCCUUGAUUCAUGCUGUCUAUUGGCUGGGAACUUUGAGCUCUUCCUUGGAGGAGGGAGGGUGAUCAGGUUGUCUGUGUUUUGUUGGGAGGCCAUAUUAUUGCUGAAGGGAUUGAAGAAUUUUC